rnacentral:ribozyme from 1 species
GUAAAACUCGUCCUGACGUGAAACAGGUGUAUCUCCACGUCCAGACAAACAACGAAGUAGCUAUUAAUUUUUACAGAAAACUUGGUUUUGAAAUUGGGAAUAUCAUUGAGGAUUACUACAAAAACGUUGAACCACCUUCAUGUCAUCUUGUGUUUAAA